GGGGGGCUGCUCGUCCUCUGGAGCCCCGGCUGCAGCAGGGCCUCGCUCAUGCUGUGAUUCUGGUCCCCCGUUCAGAUAGGAUUUCUUCACGGCUACUCCUUGAAGAACGGCGUUCCUGUUGAAGAGGAGAUAAAGGCGACUGGGUUGCCAAAUGCUUUCUCAGAAAUUUGGCAAUAACGUGGUGUUUAACAUAAGUUAAACCAAAUAUAAAGGACAACAAGGCAUCAGAGAAUAGUCUGGAUCGAGGCUCAGCUACAGAAUAGCUGACAGGCAUGGGGAAGAGGGAUGCGAAUGGAACCGCUCGUGAUGGAUCGGAAUGA